rnacentral:ncRNA from 1 species
AUAAUAGCUGAGACUGAAAGAAGUACUCUACAACUAACUUUUUAGCGAGAACCGAUGGUGGGAGGGUUCAUGGAUAGGUAGACGAAAUGCAUUCACGAGCUGACACUCCGAUUAUAGGUAGGUUUGUCCGGUGACGCGCCGUUAUGCGAUGAGUGGGUACCACUGUUGGUGCCUAACAGAGUGGAACCGCGGACCAUCGUCUCUGUA